rnacentral:rRNA from 1 species
CAGUAGCCACGGUAAUACGGAGGGUGCAAGCGUUAAUCGGAAUUACUGGGCGUAAAGCGCACGCAGGCGGUUUGUUAAGUCAGAUGUGAAAUCCCCGGGCUCAUCCUGGGAACUGCAUCUGAUACUGGCAAGCUUGAGUCUCGUAGAGGGGGGUAGAAUUCCAGGUGUAGCGGUGAAAUGCGUAGAGAUCUGGAGGAAUACCGGUGGCGAAGGCGGCCCCCUGGACGAAGACUGACGCUCAGGUGCGAAAGCGUGGGGAGCAAACAGGAUUAGAUACCCGAGUAGUCCCUGUCUCUUAUAC